AGGUGAACNUGCGGAAGGAUCAUUA
rnacentral:rRNA from 1 species